rnacentral:lncRNA from 1 species
UAUUUAUUCGAUUCCUUUGUUGAAUGUUCUUGUUGUUUGAACGGUUUGUCACUGCUGAAAUUCAAAUUGUCAUCAUGGAGUUCCCUAGGAUCACCUUGACAUGGGUUUUGUGCCAUAAGAAGUGAUGUAGCACAAUGCAAACAAUCAUCAGUAGGUAAGCUUUGGUCAUCCUUGUCUCUUGGUGACAUCGUGUCAUCACUCGAGAUAGAAGGGACGUGUGAUGGUGCCGAAUUAUGCCUUGUUAGUGGCCUAAAGAGAAUAACUUCUUCUUCUUCCACCACAUCAUAUCUUCCAUUGGCACUGGAGAUCCUGCAUCCACUGAAGUAAUGUCCGAAAACUCAGUUUUAUUGAUGGAAAGACCUUCCAAGGAUGAAGAAGCUAUUUCGUCAAUAGGCUCCAACUUGUGCUUACUAUCACCAUUUGUCUCAUUAUCUUUGUUGUAGCUGAAACUUCCUCUGCCAAGGACCCAAGCAUUGAGAGAAGGAGGGCCAACGGAGAUUGGAGCUUCAGAAAAUGUGUAUUUAUUUGAUUCCUUUGUUGAAUGUUCUUGUUGUUUGAACGGUUUGUCACUGCUGAAAUUCAAAUUGUCAUCAUGGAGUUCCCUAGGAUCACCUUGACAUGGGUUUUGUGCCAUAAGAAGUGAUGUAGCACAAUGCAAACAAUCAUCAGUAGGUAAGCUUUGGUCAUCCUUGUCUCUUGGUGACAUCGUGUCAUCACUCGAGAUAGAAGGGACGUGUGAUGGUGCCGAAUUAUGCCUUGUUAGUGGCCUAAAGAGAAUAACUUCUUCUUCUUCCACCACAUCAUAUCUUCCAUUGGC